ACCGCAAAAGCGGAGGCCGUGGAAGGAGAAGGAAGAAGGAGGAAAAGGACGAGAAAGGACAAGAAAGCGGAGGGGAAGGAGGAAGAGGAAGAAGAAGAGAAAGAGAAAUGGUGUAAAUUUCACCUAAAAAGUGCUACUUUCAUCUAAAGACCAAAGAGUGCAACUUUCGUCUAAAGAGUAUAACUCUUAUUCCAAAGAGUGUAAUUUCUGUUUCAAAGAGUGCAACUUUCAUUUAAAACAGUGCAAAAUUUUUAAAAAUAGUGUAACUUUAUUUUAACAGUGCAAUUUUAUUUUCUUCUUUCUUUUUCUACAAUUUUUGGCCUUUCCUGUAGAAAAAUAUUUUUUUAUUUUUAUUUUUUAUUAUUCUUAUUUUAUUUCUCUCUAUAAUUUUUCUUUGUCACGAUCUCACCCUUGCCCU
rnacentral:lncRNA from 1 species